UCCACCGAAAGAAAAAGAGUGGCGAACGGGUGAGUAACACGUGGGUAACCUGCCCAUCAGAAGGGGAUAACACUUGGAAACAGGUGCUAAUACCGUAUAACACUAUUUUCCGCAUGGAAGAAAGUUGAAAGGCGCUUUUGCGUCACUGAUGGAUGGACCCGCGGUGCAUUAGCUAGUUGGUGAGGUAACGGCUCACCAAGGCCACGAUGCAUAGCCGACCUGAGAGGGUGAUCGGCCACACUGGGACUGAGACACGGCCCAGACUCCUACGGGAGGCAGCAGUAGGGAAUCUUCGGCAAUGGACGAAAGUCUGACCGAGCCACGCCGCGUGAGUGAAGAAGGUUUUCGGAUCGUAAAACUCUGUUGUUAGAGAAGAACAAGGAUGAGAGUAGAACGUUCAUCCCUUGACGGUAUCUAACCAGAAAGCCACGGCUAACUACGUGCCAGCAGCCGCGGUAAUACGUAGGUGGCAAGCGUUGUCCGGAUUUAUUGGGCGUAAAGCGAGCGCAGGCGGUUUCUUAAGUCUGAUGUGAAAGCCCCCGGCUCAACCGGGGAGGGUC
rnacentral:rRNA from 1 species